GAUCGUGUUCCGAGGCUACCUCCUCCUCCCAAGCCGAAGAACACGUUUGAGGCAAGAACUCCUCCUCCCAAUCUUGCCUCUGAAUAACGUCACCCGCCGGUACCUCCUCCCACCGGCGGGUGACGUUU
rnacentral:sRNA from 1 species